UUUCGAGACCACUCUAAUCCAUU
ensembl:ncRNA